UACGAAGGGGGCUAGCGUUGCUCGGAAUUACUGGGCGUAAAGCGCACGUAGGCGGUCUUUUAAGUCGGGGGUGAAAUCCUGGAGCUCAACUCCAGAACUGCCUUCGAUACUGGAAGACUUGAGUCCGGGAGAGGUGAGUGGAACUGCGAGUGUAGAGGUGAAAUUCGUAGAUAUUCGCAAGAACACCAGUGGCGAAGGCGGGUCUCUGGGCCGAUACUGACACUGAGAAGCGAAAGCGUGGGGAGCGAACAGG
rnacentral:rRNA from 1 species